rnacentral:rRNA from 1 species
ACCCUUAGAUGUCCGGGGCCGCACGCGCGCUACAAUGGAUGAAUCAACGCGUUUAUCCUGGCCCGAAAGGGUUGGGGAACCGCUGAACCUCAUCCGUGGUUGGGAUUGGGGUUUGUAAUUAUUCCCCAUGAACUAGGAAUUCCCAGUAAGCGCGAGUCAUAAGCUCGCGUUGAUUACGUCCCUGCCCUUUGUACACACCGCCCGUCGCUACUACCGAUUGGAUGGUUUAGUGAGAUCCUCGGAUUGGUCACGGCACGGUGGCAACACUGCGUCGGUGUGCCGAGAAGACGAUCAAACUUGAUCAUCUAGAGGAAGUAAAAGUCGUAACA